AGAUUUGAAGAACAAAAUAAUUUUCAAAACUAUCUAAAAUAACAGUGUUUGACCAGUAAGCUCUUUUUCCCAUAACUAUCAGAACUACGUAGUCGGACCUUAUUUUAUAUCCAGCUAAGAACUUUUGACAGCAUUUCUCAAAAAUAUGUGGAAUACAAAUACAACUUUUAGCUUAUAGUCAAUAAGCAUGAACUCAAACAGAUUGUUUUCAGAUGAUUCUUCCUCGGAGUGAACUCGUACAUGAACUCGAAAAAGUCUGAUGGACUACUUAUUUUAAACCGCAUAAUGUAAAAACGCAACAGCGCCACCGAAGCCCCAUGUUGCGUAGUAAUCGAAACGAUGUCGUCAGGGACAACAAGUUAAUGCAGCUAAUGAAAAAAAGCUGAAUGAAGCGGUUAUCACAAAUCCAUAUCAAUACAUAUGUACAUUACAUCCAUAUGUAAAGCGUAACCAAUUCGAAUUGAUUAAUUUUUUACAUAGUGAUUAUACGCCAAUUACCAAAUGGCUUUAAGAUUAUUUUGAAUUUAUGACAUCUUCAGAAUGGCCAUGAUGAAAUCCAAAAAAAUAACAUAUUUUGGGGUGCUACAAUUUAGAAAUUAAAUUUCAACACUUUUUGGGGUUUUAUUGUAUUGUAUAUAACAAUGCCGCACAAUUAAUGACAUCACUUCGGAGUUAAGUAGUUAAAAAAGGUGGAAUAACAAGAUGAAUGAGAAAAUAAACAAAAACGGAAAAGUUCAAUGUCAAUGUUAAAUUAUGUUUAAUGGAUGCGAGCAAAUGUUUAUAUGCACGUAUGUAUGUAUGUAUUUAUGCAUAUUUAUUCAAACUCAGCUUUAUAGGUAAUUUUUUCCCGGA